UUUGGUGGGAAGGGCAUUUGUAUAUUUAAGCAAUCUUCUCUAUCCAGUGCCCCUCAUCCACAGAGUGGCUGUUGUCAGCGAGAAGGGAGAAGUGCGUGGAUUUCUGCGUGUGGCAGUCCAAGCUAUAGCUGCCGAUGAAGAGGCCCCCGAUUAUGGCUCGGGCGUUCGGCAGUCUGGCACAGCCAAGAUCUCAUUUGAUAACGAGUAUUUCGACAAGAGCAACUUUUCAUCCGUGUCCGUGAUUCGUUCCGGACUGUCCUUGGAAGAACUGAGGAUCGUCGAGGGACAAGGCCAGAGCACGGAAGUCAGUACGCCCCCUGAAGAAAUCAACAGGAUGAACG